CGCCAGACUCCUACGGGAGGCAGCAGUGGGGGAUAUUGCACAAUGGGGGAAACCCUGAUGCAGCGACGCCGCGUGAGCGAUGAAGUAUUUCGGUAUGUAAAGCUCUAUCAGCAGGGAAGAAGAUGACGGUACCUGACUAAGAAGCCCCGGCUAACUACGUGCCAGCAGCCGCGGUAAUACGUAGGGGGCAAGCGUUAUCCGGAUUUACUGGGUGUAAAGGGAGCGUAGACGGCGAUGCAAGCCAGAUGUGAAAGCCCGGGGCUCAACCCCGGGACUGCAUUUGGAACUGUGUGGCUGGAGUGUCAGAGAGGCAGGCGGAAUUCCUAGUGUAGCGGCGAAAUGCGUAGAUAUUAGGAGGAACGCCAGUGGCGAAGGCGGCCUGCUGGACGAUGACUGACGUUGAGGCUCGAAAGCGUGGGGAGCAAACAGGAUUAGAUACCCCAGUACCG
rnacentral:rRNA from 1 species